AGUGAACGCUGGCGGUAGGCCUAACACAUGCAAGUCGAACGGCAGCACAGUAAGAGCUUGCUCUUACGGGUGGCGAGUGGCGGACGGGUGAGGAAUACAUCGGAAUCUACUUUUUCGUGGGGGAUAACGUAGGGAAACUUACGCUAAUACCGCAUACGACCUACGGGUGAAAGCAGGGGAUCUUCGGACCUUGCGCGAUUGAAUGAGCCGAUGUCGGAUUAGCUAGUUGGCGGGGUAAAGACCCACCAAGGCGACGAUCCGUAGCUGGUCUGAGAGGAUGAUCAGCCACACUGGAACUGGGACACGGUCCAGACUCCUACGGGAGGCAGCAGUGGGGAAUACUGGACAAUGGGCGCAAGCCUGAUCCAGCCAUACCGCGUGGGUGAAGAAGGCCUUCGGGUUGUAAAGCCCUUUUGUUGGGAAAGAAAAGCAGCAGGUUAAUACCCCGCUGUUCUGACGGUACCCAAAGAAUAAGCACCGGCUAACUUCGUG
rnacentral:rRNA from 1 species